rnacentral:misc_RNA from 1 species
UCUCCGUUGGUGAACCUGCGGAAGGAUCAUUACUGAGUGAGGGCCCCUCGGGGUCCAACCUCCCACCCGUGUUUAACGAACCUUGUUGCUUCGGCGGGCCCGCCUCACGGCCGCCGGGGGGCAUCUGCCCCCGGGCCCGCGCCCGCCGAAGCCACCUGUGAACGCUGUCUGAAGUAUGCAGUCUGAGACAAUUAUUAAAUUAAUUAAAACUUUCAACAACGGAUCUCUUGGUUCCG